CUCCUUCACCCAAAAAACUGCCUCCGCAUUUCUAUUUAGCACUUGUGAGCAGAGGCUGAGUUUCGGCAACACUCCAGCAUUAAGAGGAUUUCUAUGAAUCUUUCUGGCAGAAAGCUGUAGUACAAACAGACAGGCCACUAAUAAGAUCUCACUAAUUUUUAGUGACUCCUUGAAUACUAUUAUGCUAACAUCUUCUUAAAUAAGGUUCACGUGCGUUUAAGAGUCUCAUUUUCUUUGAAUCACAUUCUCAAUUGUAUACUCUUCCUCACAAUAUAAAUGAGGUCCUAUCGUCAUUGAAUCGAUCCAUGUAAGUAUUUUACAUUUUGAAGCAGUUUGACUUUAUUAAUCAAGGUAAUGUAAAAAAUUUAAUGGAACAUUUGGGAAACUUAAAUGCGUGUAAUAGAGAGAAGAUCUAUCUGGGAGAUAGUGACAAACUAAGUAGCAGUAAGAACUAGUGUAUUAUGAACAGUAGAACAGAUGAGACAUCAUUUGAUAUUUUUAAAAUAAGCUUUUUCCAGAUUGAAGCAGUUAUUCAUGCUCAAUGUAGACAAGAGAAAAGACUAUGGAAAUCUCUAAUAAUAUCACCAUGUAUAGGUAAUUCAAUAGAAUAUUAAAAUUUUGUGUAAUAUAUAUGUGUGUAUGUAUAUAAGAAAAAUCAUGUAUAUGUAUAUACACAUUUUCAAAAUUAUAUUCAUACAUGAUUUUCACUUUUAAAACUUUAUCUCAUUUAGUAUUAUUUCCUGGGCAUGUUUUAAAAAUCUUUUUUGAAAUUUAUACACAAAGCAUAUUUUUCUGUUGAAAGCAAACAUGAUUUUAAUGCUACCAUAUAUUCCAAUUAUGAUUAACUUAUUAAUUCUCUAAGCAUUGGAUACUCAAGAAAUUUCUCAUGUUCUGAAUAUUAUGAACAGCAAGCUCAAUAACAUUUGUGUACAUGCUUGAUUAUUUUAUUAGCUUGGAUUGCUAAAAAUGUAGUUACUGGAUCACAAUUUAUAUAUAUUUAAAUGCUUUGAGAUUAUUGCCAAAUUGCUUUCCUUAAUGGUGUAUAAUUUAAUCAUUUCUUUCUCAAAAUGCCAUUUUUCAACUUAUGCUCACUGGUGCUAUUUCAAAACAUUAAGCCAACUUCAUUGUUUGAAAAGGUAAAUCAAGGGAUAAAGUCUUCAUUGUGGUAAAAUUUCCAUUAUAUGUACUUAGACACCAGUAAAGCAAUCUUAGAAAUAAAAAUUUGCAGAGAAUGGUGAAAAGAAUCUAUAGUAACUUGUCUUCAAGGCAGGCUAGGGCUUUCUAACUUGACUGGGGAAUGGCGUAAAUCACAAUCUAAAAUACCUCUAAAUCCUCCAGGAAAAAAACAAAGGAAGCAAGGAAAGAAAGAAGCAAAGAUGGAAGUGAAACUGACAGCACUACCGGCCUGAACAUAGCCAGAACACAGAUUGAGACUUGAACCCACAUGCUGGGACUCAAACCCAAACCAAAACCCAGACUAGGACUUGAACCCAUGUGCCGGGACUUGAACCCAGCCUAAACCCAGAUUGGGACCUGAACUCACAGUUUUAAAUUAGGAUUACUCACCCUUUGUCUGGACUCACUGAGAUUCAGGCGCUUCAUACCUCUGCGCAGAAGGAAUUCAGCUGGAGACCAAGUGAUAGGAUACGAUCCUUGUGAGAGAUGCAAGUGGACAGGCAAGGAAGCUCUGCCCAAGGAUCUGUUGGGCCAGUUUUAUCAUCCAAGGGGCGUGGGGGUUGGAAAAGCCCGCCUCUUCCUUUCCGGGAAUAGGGAGUAGUAGCUCCUCCUUAGUAUUCCAAAAGGUGUGAAUUCAAAUCAGCUGAAGGGCGAUCUUCAAACUCUUGCCCUUGGUCUGAAUCUGAAUACAGGCCUCAUCCUAUCCCCCACCCAGUGACCUGAGGCAAUUCUUGCACUUCCACUAGUCAAUUAAGCCUUCCUUGUUCUGAGGGCUUUCUCGAACUUAGAGUGGUCUCCCAACAUCCCCCAGGUUUCCCUCUUUAUCUGUGAUCCCCUAUUGGGACUUCUACAACCACCUGUGCCUACUCCAUCCCUAUCAGAAGGAAAGAAAGAAAGGAGAGAGGGAGGGAGGGAAGGAAGGAAGGAAAGGAGAGAGGGUGGGAGUUUCUUCAAGUAUUCAGAUUUUGUUUAUCUGAUCUCAAACUUCAAUCUUGGAUCAUUCAUGAGGGUUGAGGAGUGGGGAGAGAGAUACCAGCAGAAAACAGCUUUAAAAAAUCUUGACUGGAAAGUAAAACAGCAGGAGUUCUCAUUGUGGCGCAGCAGAAGUGAAUCCAACUAGUAUCUUUGAGGACGCAUAUUCCAUCCCGGCCUCGCAGUGAGUUAAGGAUUCAGCAUUACUGUGAGCUGUGAUGUAAGUCACAGACGUGGCUCAGAUCCUGUGUGGCUGUGGCGUAGGCCAACAUCUGUAGCUCUGAUUCGACCCCUAGUCUGGGAUUUCCAUAUGCCAUGGGUGCAGACCUCAAAAAAUAAUAAUAAGUAAAAAAAGAAACAAAAUGAAACAAGGGAAUAUAUGCCAUUUAUACAUAUGCGAAAAAGUGAACUCUGAGGAUAAUGACUACAUCAUUUCUUCCUGUAUAUAAUUUCCUUUUCCAAGUAGCCUCCAGGAAAAUCACUCUGUGCUGAACUAAAUAAGAGCUACCCUAUUUACAGAUGUAUAGCUGUAACACCACACACACACACACACACACACACACACACACACACACACACAUUCCGUUCCUGAUGCAACUGUGUGAAUUCAAAUGUUUCAAGGAUAUCGGCUAUAAAAACAUGAAAACAUACUUUUUGCACUCUACUUUUCCCGUUGUAAGAACAAGCUACUAGUUAUUUGAGUGUAACUGUCUUGUCAUUGGAAUACAGCAUAGAAUUUUGGGUUUGUAUGUGUCAAUAAAGGAUAAAAACAAGGGAAGACAUUUGUACCCAUUCCAUUUAUUCCUCUGCCUGUUUAAUAACAGAAUUGAUGUUUCUUCCUCUUCAAUUCAAUCAUUGAGGAUAAAAUUGAAAGCUCUGCUAACUCUGCUCUGGUUAUUCUAAUGAUGGCAAAUGAUGCAGCAUUAUCAUAAUAGCAAACAGCAAAUAUUUUACCUAAAUAGAGGAUGACUAAAUAUAAUCAUUUCCUUUAGAGAUCUCAGUAGGAAAUAGAAAAUCAAAUGUUGACACUUCAGUAUGUAUGUGGCCCAACAAUGAGGAAGAAUCAAGCAUUUCUGUAAUGAAAAAGCCAAGUAUGUACUUACAUAUUCCCUGAAUAUGGUUCCUACAGGCUGCCCUGGAGGGCAACCAAUUUGCUUGACCUAGGUCCAGGUGGACCUCAGGGGCAUCCAGGAGUGAGGUUGCUUUGCUGAGCUCAGGUGAGGAGAGCAGCAUUUGGGAGUUGCUUCAAGGAGCAGAUAAAUCUUUAACAUCAGUCCUACAACCUAAAUUUCCCACACACCAAAAUGUGUGGCUUUGAAAAGCACAAUCUAAUCUGCCCUGAACACAAUGUUUUCCUUGAGUUCCCCAAAGAAUUUUUGAGAGGUCUUAUAUUAUGCAAUAAAAUGACAAGGUAAUAAAAGGAAAAAAUACAAGGGUGAGUGGGUGGGGUCGGUGAGAGGCAGUGUAAGAAGUUCUGCAUAAUGAAACUCAGAAACAAUUCUCAAGCUUGUUCUUGAACAUGAUUUGUAUUUGUAUUUGAGUCAGAGACAUUAUUCCCAUGAGGGUAAUGGUUUAACAAUUCAUAAGUCUUUUCUCUGUAAUUGAAAACCUCUCAAUUAUACUGCUGUAAAGUGCAGAAUCUGAGGAAAGGAGUGCUGAAUAUGCAAACCCAGAUCAGAAUAAAAGAAGUGAGCUAUGUCUUCAAACCUUUGGUAACAGGUACAGUUAGAGUUGAACUUUUUAAGGAACAAGUUCUGUGUGUCUGAAAAGUGCCUUCAUUAUAUAACUUUUGUACUUAAGAACAACAAACAUCUUAUGAUGUCUAAAUAGCCACGAAAUUAUUAUGACCCUUUAUUAUAUAAUAUUGUACUGAUAGUACCAGAAAAUAAAAUUGAGAAAUAAUGAAUUAAAUGACUUGACUUAAAACAAUAGCUCAUUUUCUUGAGCAUUUACUACUAUAAAAAUUAAUAAAGGGAAUCCUUAAUUAAAAUAGAAUUAGAAGGCCAAAAAGGGGAGCUUUCAUGCCUUAUGGCAAUAACAGAGCCCAACAGGAAGUAGAAAUUUUUCCUCUUCUCACCUGGCAAGAGCUCAGCCAAUGAGAGACUGUCAAAACUCAGCCAAGGAAAAGUCACUACACUUCAAACUCUUAAUUCCGCCGAUAGAUUCUUAGUUUACUACAUGCCUCCCAACUUCCUUUUCUUCUCUGUAAGAGUUCUCUCUUUGUUACCAGAGACUUGCACAUAGUUGUAGUUGCAGACCCUAAAUUGCAAUUGUCUGUUGAUCUUAAAUAACAGACUUUUUUUUGCUGGAGAAAUAAUAAGCGGUCUCUUUGUUUUAGGUGAACACUUUGCUCACAGUGCUAAGUAUUUAUUUUUUAAAAUUUUUAAAAAUUUUUUCCCGGAGUUCCCGUCGUGGCGCAGUGGUUAACGAAUCCGACUAGGAACCAGGAGGUUUCGGGUUCGAUCCCUGGCCUCACUCAGUGGGUUAAGGAUCUGGCGUUGCCAUGAGGUGUGGUGUAGGUCACAGACGCGGCUCGGAUCUGGUGUUGCUGUGGCUGUGGAGUAGGCUGGCAGCUAUAGCUCUGAUUAGACCCCUAGCCUGGGAACCUCCAUAUGCCACAGGCGCAGCCCUAAAAGGACAAAAGACAAAAAUAAAUAAAUAAAUAAAGAUUGAUUUAACAUUUUAAAGAAUUUCUUCAUGAGAAAAGUAAGUUCUCCUGCUUGUUCUUUCUUAUUUUGUAGAAGAUAUUAGUAUGCUUAGCCUUUCAAGUUGUAGUCAUCAUGAUCCAAACUGCUUCCAUGUAAAUACAAGUAAAAUCAUAUUUAUGGACUGUGGAGAGCCUCUGGUGCAAUCAUUGGUGCUUAAAAUUUGGAAACAAUUUACUUAGAGAAAAGCUUCAUGGCUACUUCCUUCAGAAUAACCAAGGAUGUCUUGAGCAAGGCAAAUCCUGGGUCUGUUGCAAAGCCAACUGUAUUAGCAUUUCUGAGGGUGGGAGCUCCAUAAUCUCUACUUUAGGAAAACAAAUUAGUGAUUUUUACACACAAUAAAAUCAGAAGGAAAGGCUUAUUAUCUUUGCUCUUGAGCUCAGGGCUGUGAUUGGUUAGAGCCAGUGCACCUGACUGGGGAGUCACUACUUGUUGGCUGAGUCCAUCUCCAGUAAGCAGUUCUUUGCUAAGAUAAUGCAGUCCUGGGCAAAGUCAAAACUCGAGGAUCUCCUAGGUACCCUACCAGACCAAUCCUCUUCCACCACUCAUGCCUGGAGGGCAGGAUUCUGCAAGGGGCCAUGCAUAAGAUGGUGCUACCCCAAAACAGAAGGCAUAGAACUGAUACUCUGAAAACUAGACAAAAGCUUUAUUUAAUUACUGCCCUGGUGCCUCUCUGAACUAUGAGGAAUCAGUGUUUCUUGAAUGAUUAGUAAAUGGAAAUUUCUAAUUAAUUAAUUAACACAGGCUUAAACAGAACCCUUUUUUGUGUGUUUCUAUUUCUCCAAUAGAGAGAAACUGGAAAUCUUGCCUGAAUCAGUCAGCAUUAUCAAGCUGAAUGCUAAUGAUUAUCAUUCAAGUCAAUAUACGGACAGGAUGACAUACCUCCUGGUUAGUCUGAGAUGACUCUGAUUUAAUCCUGAUCUUAUGGAUGAAUCCCGAAUAGCAUCUUCUCUCUCUCCGUAGUAUCCUGGUUUGGAUGAUAGAUUAUAUAGUCAUCCAGUCUAUAGAUGCAUCUGUAUAGAAGAUUGAGUAAACUGACAUAUUCUUGAAUUUGUGGGUACAUUUAUUUGUAUUUUUAAAAUGUUUUUCUUUCACUUUUAUUGAGAUAUAAUUUACAUAAGCACUAUAUACAUUUAAGGUGUACUGCAUGAUUUGACUUAAAUACAUCAUGAAAUGAUGAUUACAAGUGAACAUCAUCUC
rnacentral:lncRNA from 1 species